AUGAAGGGAACCAUAAAGGUGAAGGAGCCAGCAGUGGCCUCUCAGGUACACAGAAACCAGCUCUGGGAUAUUCCUGCCGAGCCCUGUGCACAGCCUGCGUGCCAGGCCGCGCCGUUGGGAGCCAAGGGUAAGGAAUUUGCACCCCAAAGUGGAACAACAACCAGGAGAAGAGAAGAAAGGCACCAUCCCUAUAACAAGGUCAGUUCCAUUGCAGAAGUGAAGGGGCAGCUAAGAAUGCUGAAACAAGUCCAACAACCUGUUGGGAAACUGGGCUGCAGCAAAAGGAAGUCACACCUUGUCAGAAAUUGAGAGAUCUGGUGUUGAUGAUAGCAGCUCUUUUGGAGAGAUGACAAAAUGAAACACCCACGAAGAAGAGCAACCAGCAUUGGCAGAAGAAGAAGAAACUCAUGUCUCUGGGACUGUUGCUGCUUUGGAGACCAUAGGUCACAGAAGCAAAGACCCUUCACUGCCUUGUCUGUCCCUCCAGAUACCAUGAAUAACUUCCAGUCUUAAGCUGCUCUUUUUGGUAUCUGUUUCACAGCAUCAUGGGUAAGAGUCACAGAUGACAGCAAACUGCUGUACUUUUAGCACUGAUACCAUUUUAUAUAGUUCCCAGAACAAUGGAU
rnacentral:lncRNA from 1 species